GUCAGGGUAGCUCAGUGGUAGAGCAACAGUAUCAUAAACUGUGGGUCGUGGGUUCGAUCCCCACCCUUGACA
rnacentral:tRNA from 3 species